rnacentral:rRNA from 1 species
UACGAAGGGGGCUAGCGUUGCUCGGAAUUACUGGGCGUAAAGCGCACGUAGGCGGUCUUUUAAGUCGGUGGUGAAAUCCUGGAGCUCAACUCCAGAACUGCCUUCGAUACUGGAAGACUUGAGUCCGGGAGAGGUGAGUGGAACUGCGAGUGUAGAGGUGAAAUUCGUAGAUAUUCGCAAGAACACCAGUGGCGAAGGCGGCUUACUGGCUCAUUUCUGACGCUGAGGUGCGAAAGCGUGGGGAGCAAACAGG